UAGUGUUCUGUAGCACUGUAGGAUGAC
rnacentral:piRNA from 1 species